rnacentral:rRNA from 1 species
UACGGGGGGGGCAAGCGUUGUUCGGAAUUACUGGGCGUAAAGGGUCUGUAGGUGGCCAACUAAGUCGGACGUGAAAUCCCUCAGCUUAACUGGGGAACUGCGUCUGAGACUGGAUGGCUUGAGUGCAGGAGAGGAACGCGGAAUUCCAGGUGUAGCGGUGAAAUGCGUAGAUAUCUGGAGGAACACCGGUGGCGAAGGCGGCAUCCUGGACCGAUACUGACGCUGAGGAGCGAAAGCCAGGGGAGCAAACGGG